rnacentral:rRNA from 1 species
UACGUAGGGUGCAAGCGUUAAUCGGAAUUACUGGGCGUAAAGCGUGCGCAGGCGGCUUUGCAAGACAGAUGUGAAAUCCCCGGGCUUAACCUGGGAACUGCAUUUGUGACUGCAUGGCUGGAGUGCAGCAGAGGGGGAUGGAAUUCCGCGUGUAGCAGUGAAAUGCGUAGAUAUGCGGAGGAACACCGAUGGCGAAGGCAAUCCCCUGGGCCUGCACUGACGCUCAUGCACGAAAGCGUGGGGAGCGAAUGGG